rnacentral:misc_RNA from 1 species
GAACGCACAUUGCGCCCUCUGGUAUUCCGGAGGGCAUGCCUGUUCGAGCGUCAUUAUCACCCCUCAAGCCCGGCUUGUUGUUGGUCGCAGCGGGAGGCUCGCCCCCCCGCUCUUCCCAAAGAUAAUGACGGCGUCUGUGAGGACUCCUGUACACUGAGCUUUCGGGCACGUACUAGGCUAGAAGUCCAGACCCGGUCACCGUCCCCUCACAGGGACAUUUUUCUUUUUACAAGGUUGACCUCGGAUCAGGUAGGGAUACCCGCUGAACUUAAG